rnacentral:rRNA from 1 species
AAAUUGAAGAGUUUGAUCAUGGCUCAGAUUGAACGCUGGCGGCAGGCCUAACACAUGCAAGUCGAACGGUAACAGGAAGCAGCUUGCUGCUUUGCUGACGAGUGGCGGACGGGUGAGUAAUGUCUGGGAAACUGCCUGAUGGAGGGGGAUAACUACUGGAAACGGUGGCUAAUACCGCAUAACGUCGCAAGACCAAAGAGGGGGACCUUCGGGCCUCUUGCCAUCAGAUGUGCCCAGAUGGGAUUAGCUAGUUGGUGAGGUAACGGCUCACCAAGGCGACGAUCCCUAGCUGGUCUGAGAGGAUGACCAGCCACACUGGAACUGAGACACGGUCCAGACUCCUACGGGAGGCAGCAGUGGGGAAUAUUGCACAAUGGGCGCAAGCCUGAUGCAGCCAUGCCGCGUGUAUGAAGAAGGCCUUCGGGUUGUAAAGUACUUUCAGCGGGGAGGAAGGUGUUGUGGUUAAUAACCGCAGCAAUUGACGUUACCCGCAGAAGAAGCACCGGCUAACUCCGUGCCAGCAGCCGCGGUAAUACGGAGGGUGCAAGCGUUAAUCGGAAUUACUGGGCGUAAAGCGCACGCAGGCGGUCUGUCAAGUCGGAUGUGAAAUCCCCGGGCUCAACCUGGGAACUGCAUUCGAAACUGGCAGGCUUGAGUCUUGUAGAGGGGGGUAGAAUUCCAGGUGUAGCGGUGAAAUGCGUAGAGAUCUGGAGGAAUACCGGUGGCGAAGGCGGCCCCCUGGACAAAGACUGACGCUCAGGUGCGAAAGCGUGGGGAGCAAACAGGAUUAGAUACCCUGGUAGUCCACGCCGUAAACGAUGUCUACUUGGAGGUUGUGCCCUUGAGGCGUGGCUUCCGGAGCUAACGCGUUAAGUAGACCGCCUGGGGAGUACGGCCGCAAGGUUAAAACUCAAAUGAAUUGACGGGGGCCCGCACAAGCGGUGGAGCAUGUGGUUUAAUUCGAUGCAACGCGAAGAACCUUACCUGGUCUUGACAUCCACAGAACUUUCCAGAGAUGGAUUGGUGCCUUCGGGAACUGUGAGACAGGUGCUGCAUGGCUGUCGUCAGCUCGUGUUGUGAAAUGUUGGGUUAAGUCCCGCAACGAGCGCAACCCUUAUCCUUUGUUGCCAGCGGUC